UGCCAGACUCCUACGGGAGGCAGCAGUAGGGAAUCUUUCACAAUGGGCGAAAGCCUGAUGGAGCAACGCCGCGUGCAGGAUGAAGGCCUUCGGGUUGUAAACUGCUUUUAUAAGCGAGAAAUAUGAUGGUAACUUAUGAAUAAGGAUCGGCUAACUACGUGCCAGCAGCCGCGGUCAUACGUAGGAUCCGAGCAUUAUCCGGAGUGACUGGGUGUAAAGGGAGCGCAGGCGGCCUUGCAAGUCUGAUGUGAAAGGCCGGGGCCCAACCCCGGGACUGCAUUGGAAACUGCGAGGCUGGAGUGUCGGAGAGGCAGGCGGAAUUCCUAGUGUAGCGGUGAAAUGCGUAGAUAUUAGGAGGAACACCAGUGGCGAAGGCGGCCUGCUGGACGAUGACUGACGCUGAGGCUCGAAAGCGUGGGGAGCAAACAGGAUUAGAUACCCCAGUA
rnacentral:rRNA from 1 species